CAUAUGCUUUUGAGGGCUGCUUUCAAAGGGAAUUAUUCCCUGACUUGGAGAGCAGAUAACAGCCCUCUUAGAGUAUAAAUAGGACCUCUUCUUCACUCAUUAGGAGAGAUUCAGAACCCUAAAACACUAUAAAAAGGUUCAACACUGUUUCAUUAGUAGCUAGUUCUAUUUCUUCUUAUUUUCUUUCAUAAAAAAACAUAGAAAAACUUUCUCUGGAUUUCUGGUUCUCUGAGAAAUGACUUGAUAUGAAGCUAGUUUGAUUAAUAUUGAUGUUCCCUACUGCUGAGUCCAUUGUUUUCCGCUACUCCUUGCUGAUUUCUGAACACAUUUUCUUUUUGAUUGUUGUAUCCAGGUAAUUUUUCUUUGAAUAAAUCCAAAGGCCAGGGCAUUCCCCCCUUUAAGCCUCUUUCUCACAUCACAACUUGAAGCAGCUGAGUAUGGCUCCAUAUUUGCCUUGAUAGCACAGUCUAAUGAUGAUGAAGACGACGAUGAUGAUGAUGAGGUAAACUUUCUAGAUGUUCAAAGAAAUCUAAAGUCUUUUUCUAUGAAAAAACUUAUGUCUUUGGCAAAUAUUUUAAUUGAUGCUUAUCACAUUCUCAUAAAUGAUAAAGAUGCAUUAAUUGUGGAACUAGGAGAAGAAGAACAGUCUAGAGAUGAUCUAGUAAUCGUUGUAGUUAAUUUAAAGGAAACAAUUGAGAGUCUGGAGAAAGAAAAAGAUGCCUUAGCUGGAAAAAAGUGCAAGCAUAGAACAUGAGAGAUAUGAUCUAGUAGUUGUUGUGAAGAGACCAUUGAAUGUGUUAAAAAGGAAAAAGAAGUUUUAAUUGAGAGAGUUUCUAACAUUGAGCACGAGAGAGAUGACCUAUUAGUAGUGGUGGUAGACCUAAAGAAAACAAUUGAGGAACUUAAAAUGGAGAAUAGGCCUGGGAAUAGUCAAAAGGGAAAGAAAGUUGCAAGUGAGGCACAUCUUAAGAUUGAAAAUGAGUUAAAAUUAGUAAAAUCUAGUUUGUGUGAUGAGCUUGAGAAAAACAAACAACUUCAGGAAGAACUAGGAAGAGUCAAUAGUGAUCUUGAAAAAUCACACAAGUGGACCUGGUCCUCUGAUGCUAUCACUGCCAUGUACACAAACAAUGGGGGAAAUAGGCAGGGAAUCGGGUUUCAAAGGGAAUAGACUCCCUACAACCCUCACAGCCAGUACGUCAUUGUACCUGACAAUUGGCUAUGCACUCACUGUGCUAACCCUAGGCACUUUAAGGAAACUUGUUAGGCCAAAUUCAAAUCUCAAUAGAAAAACAAAGUUUUUGCUAAAAAAGUAACUACUAUUAGGGAACCUAGUCCUUUACAUAAAAAAUGUAUAAUGCCUGCUUGGAUUAAAAGAGCCCUAAUUCACCCCUUUCCUCUUUACAAGGGACCCAAACUUGUUUGGGUUCCUAAAUCUAACCCAUGAUUUCCUUGUGCAGGGAACAAUGAAAGGGAGCAACCACCAAUGAUACAUGGAUAGCCGAUGCUCGAAGCACAUGACUGGAAGUACAAAUGAUUUCCUUUUACUGAAGGCCCUGGAGGGAGGGAGUGUAUACUUUGGAAAUGGCAAAAAGGGAUACAUUCUGAGAAUUGGAAGGAUCGGUGGACGCCUGACUGCUAAAGUCGAAUUGUAUCUUGAGAUGUUUUUCCUUGCUCUCCAGGUGGAUGCCUGACUACUGAACUUGAUAUGUAUUCCCAUGCUCUCUAGGCG